rnacentral:snRNA from 1 species
AAAUUCUGCCUUUUGGCUAGGAUCAAGUGUAGUAUCUGUUCUUAUAAGUGGAGGGGGAGCCCUGUAGCUAAUGGGGGGCAUGUCUUUGGGCCUUUUUUUUACUGCUAUUUAUUCUUUUAGCACUUAUUUUUAACACUUACGCUCUUUUUUGGAUCUGGUGCAUUAUCCUCCUGGUCAAUCGCACAAACCUGGGGGGAUGUGUGGCU